AGCUGCCUCGCUCGUCCUCGCACGAACCCGCGCAGCGAGCCGCAGAGGAAGAAGAAGAAGAAGAGGAGGAGGAGGAGUUAAAAAGAUGAGCCUUCAUCACCAAACCACGUCUCUCCGGAGCAGCAAAUGUGAACGAGAGGACGGUGUUUCUGAGGAUUUCAAGGGGUCCGCAACAGUUCCUGUUUUUCCACCCCGACAUGUGAGAUCUGUCAUCGGCCCACCGGAGGGAGGGAGGAGUGUGUGAAAGGUCGGCGGGGUCAAACCAGUGCACAUCGAAGGGAGAGGAAAAGAGAUGCCAACGAUGUACGUCCCUGUGAAGCCGGGCGGAUUGAGGAUGCGUUUGAGGAACACUGGGAAACGAGGCUCCCCUUUACUCCCCCGGAGUGACGCGGCGCCGACAGCUCUAAAGUUAAUACGCAGCGGCCCAGAAAUAAGCGUCGGCAUGACCGGGCUCGUUUUGGAAACAGCACCGCGUUGGGCCCAUGCCGCGAGCGUGA